AGACAGGAAGGCACCGGGCUCUAGCAGCGGGUCCCCAGUUUUGCUUGUGAGCUGCAUUCCACUGGCCACUCUGCCUUUCAUAGAGGUGAGGUAUUAAUAGUAGUUGAGGAAGACUUUAUGAGGGAGAUUGGAUUGGUGCUGAGCUUUGAAAGAUGAAUGAAAUCAUUUGGGGGAUUCAUCCACAAAAAACACAGAGACUGGCCAACACUGAUUUGCAGGUUGUUGCUAGCCCCGAGUCUUCAGCGAAUGAGGGCCAUCAUCAUCUUCUAAUGGAAGAGCCUCUCUCUCAUCGGAUGGUGAAGAUACUUCCCUAAAGCUCCCAUCCGACCACAUCAUUCCUCUGCUCAGAUCCUUUGAUGGAUGCUUGUAAGAGGAAAGAUGGUUCCUGUUUAUUCACCAGAUAGGGUUCCAGGGGUGAUGCCAAGUGCCUGAUGGAAAGACGAAUGUCAAGGAGCCUGCAGGCCACUCAGCAGCAAGGCAGGAAUGCAUCGUGGAGGCAGGACCAUGACCUCUGUUGGGGAGCAGAUGCUGGAGAACAGCUCCGACUCCUCCCAGCACUGAUGCUGCCUUCCCACGAGCACCUGUGGAUUCCUCCCAGCCUGGCUCCUGCUUUGACUGCAGGAUUUGCUCCGUCUCCUCUCCAAUGAUGCCUCCAUCUUUGCUCAGGUCUGAAUUCUCAUUACCCUUCCCUCCAGCCCCCAGCUCAGACAUGAUCUCCUUUCUGGCUUCUCCUGAGGUUUAAUAGCUGUCCGUCCUCUCCCUGCCCCAGACAUUUCCUGAUAUGACCAGGCAGAACUCCCCAGCUGCUCUUCCAGGAGAGAAGCUCUGUCAAUCCAUCAUGAUAACCUCUCAGUGUCUCGCACAGCGUGGGCUUCAAUUCAUAUAUGUGGAAAUUGGGCAAAAAUUGAGAAAGUCCCCGUGGAAAGAGUUGUCUGAGGAGGUGACAAAGGAAGGCUUAAUAUAAUAGAGCUCCCCUUCCCAGGGGUUAUGUUACAAGACUCCCCAGUGGAUGCAUGGAACCUCAGAUCGUACCGAACCCUAUUGUCUGAGUCUGUUCUUGUUGCUCUAAAGGAAUACAGAAGGCUGGCAAUUUAUAAAGGAAAGUGGCUUCUUUGGCUCAUGAUUCUGAUGGCUGGAAAAUGUCAAGAUCGGGCAUUAGCAUCUGGCAAGGACCACGGGCUGCUUCCACUCUCAGUAGAAGGUGAAGGGAGCCAGUGAGUGCAGAAGUUAUGCCCGAGAGAGGAGGCAAGGGAGAGAGGGGAGGUGCCAGGCUCUUUUUAACAGCCAGCUCUCAAGGGAACUAACAGAGCAAGAACUCCCCACUCUCUCAGGGGAGGGCAUUAAUCUAUUCCCGAGGGAUUCGCCCCCAUGACCCAAGCACCUCCCAUUAGGCUCCACCUCCAACAUUGGGGAUCAAAUUUCAACAUGCAGUUUGCAGGACAAACAUCCUAACGAUAACGCCUACGGGCCUCUAUGUUGCUGUUUCCUCUGCACAUACAUACCUAAUACGAAGUUGAGUUAAUAAAUUGGGCACAGUAAGAGAUUAACAAUAACAAUAAAAUAGAACAAUUUAUGACAAUAUA
rnacentral:lncRNA from 1 species